CUUUUAGGAGCCAGCCGCCGAAGGUGGGACAGAUGAUUGGGGUGAAGUCGUAACAAGGUAGCCGUAUCGGAAGGUGCGGCUGGAUCACCUCCUUUCUAAGGA
rnacentral:rRNA from 1 species